ensembl:misc_RNA
ACUGAGAUCUCCAUUAUUAUGUCCAGAUCACAUUUUGAGACAUCAAUGGGAGGAUUAAUUCCUCCUACUGU